GACGAACGCUGGCGGCGUGCCUAAUACAUGCCAGUAGAACGCUGAAGGAGGAGCUUGCUCUUCUGGAUGAGUUGCGAACGGGUGAGUAACGCGUAGGUAACCUGCCUGGUAGCGGGGGAUAACUAUUGGAAACGAUAGCUAAUACCGCAUAACAGUAGAUGUUGCAUGACAUUUACUUAAAAGGUGCAAUUGCAUCACUACCAGAUGGACCUGCGUUGUAUUAGCUAGUUGGUGGGGUAACGGCUCACCAAGGCGACGAUACAUAGCCGACCUGAGAGGGGGAACGGCCACACUGGGACUGAGACACGGCCCAGACUCCUACGGGGGGCAGCAGUAGGGAAUCUUCGGCAAUGGACGGAAGUCUGACCGAGCAACGCCGCGUGAGUGAAGAAGGGUUUCGGAUCGUAAAGCUCUGUUGUAAGAGAAGAACGAGUGUGAGAGUGGAAAGUUCACACUGUGACGGUAUCUUAACAGAAAGGGACGGCUAACUACGUG
rnacentral:rRNA from 1 species